UAAUAAGUGUUUUAUGGCACUUUUUAAAUCCAUAUCCACCUUGUGUGCAAUGUCAGUCGAUCUUCUUCAUGGAGAUCGACCAAACGUCAAACUUAUUCUAUUUAACUCUUUGUCUGAAAACUAUUAUGAAUAAACUAAUUCAAAAUA
rnacentral:misc_RNA from 1 species